CUGUCUACAAUCAGCGCCAUCUAGUGCAGCGGCGAUAGCACGCACGAUGUUUUCGACCGUGGCUGGCGCCGCUCUGUUUUAUCGAGCGGUGUCGCCAAUCAGAAAGCCUGCAUUUACCGACUUUUGACAGUGACGUCUUAAAUGUCACUCACAUUUUUUCUUCCCUACAAUUUUUGUAAAACCUGUACCUACAUGUAUAAAAAAUAAACGCACUAGUUACUGGAAAAAUAAUAAAGCAAAUUCAUUGAAACACACACAAGAAUCCCGAACAAAAUUGGACCUUCAGACCCGGAUCUUCAGCAGAAUCAGCAUUGGCAGUCACGGUCAGGUCAAUCAAUCCUUUCCUUUCCCAAACCGCUACUCAAUUUGUGCUAACAUCGUCAUUAUUGUGCAAAUUCCAGUCUUCGCAGCCACAUGUGCAGCGGCCACAUUGCCACGAGCACGACAUUGCAGUUAAAACUGUAAGUACUUGAUUCCUUUCUCCUGUAAAUCACCAAUAUGACUGAAAAGGGGCAGUCCCUAGAUAUAGAAAGUAGUGAAGAUCUUAUUCGUGAUUUAGUGAAAAAACGAGGUGUAGUUAAAAGAAAGUUCACAUUGUUUCUCAAAUAUGUGCAAUCUUUGGACGAGUCAAACUUAACAGCAACUCAGAAGUUAGAAUUGGAGGAGCGUUAUCAAAGAGAUAAAAUCUUGUUUGAUACAUUUUCUGAAAUUCAAGACGAGAUAGAUGUGGCUGUGUCAGAGUGUCAAUUAGAUAAAGAAUUACAGGAGAGAGAAGCGUUUCAAGACCAAUAUUAUGCUAUUGUGGCUAAAUGUAAAUGUGUUCUUAAAGAUUCCAGUAGUCAAUCCGUUCAGAGUCAAUCACAAAGUCAAAGUCGCAUUAACGGUGUAAAACUACCAACUAUUUCUUUACCAACCUUCGAUGGUUCGUAUGACCAAUGGCUCGAAUUUCGAGAUACUUAUAUGUCUAUUAUUCACAACAGUAAUAAUUUAGAAAAUGUGCAGAAAUUUCAUUACUUACGUUCCGUCCUUACGGGCAACGCCCUACAAGUCAUUAAGUCGCUGGAGUUUUCAGCUGAUAAUUAUUUAGUAGCUUGGGGUCUUUUAGAAAACAGAUACAAUAAUAACCGUCUAUUAGUUCAUAAUCAUGUGAAGGCAAUAUUUUCAGCGCAGUCAAUGUCUAAAGAAUCAGCUGCUCAAAUCCGUAAAUUAAUUGACACAAUGUUACGUAAUAUUCGUGCACUUAAAACUUUAGGAGAACCCACUGAUACAUGGGAUACAUUAAUUAUUCACAUAAUAGUUUCAAAACUAGAUUCGUCAACUGAGCGUGAGUGGGAACUUCAUAAAAGUAAUUCCACGAACAGUUCUGUCGAUAAAAAAAUGUUGCUGUCAGAUUUAUUAACAUUUCUGAAAGAUCGAGCUGAUUUUCUAGAAACUGUGAAGCCUUCGCAGAAUAAGCCAGCCACGAUAGACAACAAUAAUAAUAAUACUCACACAAAGAAGUCGUUAUCAGUAAAAUCACACAGUUAUGUUGCAACACAAAAGGAUAGCAAAAGGUCAAACAAUUCAAAACGUUACAAAUGUAAUAUGUGUGGUUCCAAUCAUCCCAUUUAUUCAUGUGAAGAGUUCCUUAAUUUAUCGCUUCGGGAUAAACUACGUAUCAUUGAAGAAAAAGGUUUAUGUGUUAAUUGUUUACGCAUAGGUCACGCAGUUAACGAAUGUUGGUUCGGACCGUGCAAGCAUUGUAAUAAGAAGCAUAACACAUUAAUUCACGACCCUUCAGUAAACACUUGUACAUCAUCAGCAGUGGCGCAUAUCACACAAAAGUCUCACCCUGAACCUAGUACAAGUGACGCACACACGCAGUUAGCUCACACCACUUCUCAUAAAACACACACGCUUUACACAGAAGAUAAUAAUAUCAAUACACACUAUUAUCAAAACCCGGUAUUAUUGUCAACUGCUUUAGUGGAAGUGGCGGACGAGCAUAACGUAUAUCACACAGCACGUGCUCUUCUGGAUAACGGAAGUCAGCAUUGUUUCAUUGCAGAAACAUUGUGUAAAAAACUUAAUAUUCCAUUGAUACAGUCCACUGUUCAAGUGAGAGGGGUAGGUAAUACUGUCACUCAAUCCACAAAUUCUUGUAGCAUUCAAUUGCGAUCCAAAGUAAAUUCAUUUAACACACGCUUUAACUGUUUAGUUUUGUCUUGUAUUUCAUCACACUUACCGACACUGAGUACAAAAGGUGACAUAGAAAUACCUGACAACAUUCAACUGGCCGAUCCUGAAUUCUGUUCUUCCGGUGAAAUACAUUUGUUGAUCGGGGCGGACAGGUUCUGGGAUCUGCUCAGUGAGGGUUUAGUAAGAUUGCCUAAUGGUCCAUACUUACAAAACACAAAAUUUGGAUGGAUCAUAUCUGGUAUUGUACACAAAAGAGUUUCACGCAUUAAACAGACUCAGUGCAAUUUCACACAUAGUACAUUAGAUUCUGAUCUCAAACGUUUUUGGGAACUUGAAGAGAUUCCUAUUAGUAGUAAUAAAUUCACUAAGGAAGAAAUCGCAUGCGAAAAAUUAUUUAAAGACACUACUUUACGCGUAGAUAAGGGUCGUUUUUCUGUGCGCAUACCGCUAAGCGAGUCAGCUGAUGUACUCGGCGAUACAUUUACUAUGGCCGAGAACCGGUUUCUUGCACUCGAACGCAAAUUACUAAGAAGCGCACCGGCCUAUAGAAAAAUGUAUAUUGAUUUUAUAAAUGAGUAUUUAAGCUUGGGACACAUGAGUCGCAUUUCUGAUUAUAAUAAAAUUUGUUAUUUUUUACCACAUCACGGUGUUUACCGAGAACACAGUUCUACUACGAAGUUAAGAGUGGUGUUUGACGGAAGUGCAAAGUCAACGUCAGGUAAAUCAUUAAAUGACAUCCAACACACAGGACCUGCGUUACACAAUGACUUGUUUUCUAUUUUGCUUCGAUUCAGACAAUUCAGAUACGUAGCAUCUUCUGAUAUUGAGAAGAUGUUUCGGCAGGUAAAAAUACAAGAAGACCAAAGAAAUUUACAAUUAAUUCUUUGGAGAGAGAAUCCAUCUGAUCCUCUCGGUGUGUACCAACUUAACACAGUAACAUAUGGAACUGCGUCCGCACCUUAUCUUAGUAUGAGGUGUUUGAAGCAACUCGCGUUGGAAUGCAAUGAUGACGUCAUCGCACAAGUCAUUAAUGACGACAUUUUUGUAGAUGAUCUCGUCACUGGCCACGAUGAUCAAGAAACAUUAUUAGAGAUUUGCAACAGUGUUUCUAAAGUACUAGAAUCUGGAUGUUUUCAUCUGAGAAAGUGGGUAUUUAAUUCACCAGUUACACAAUCAAACGUAUCCGCUUUUAAGGAUUUAUCAUUCGGUGAAAACUGUCACACUAAAACAUUGGGAAUGGGAUGGUUUUAUUCUUCUGACGAAUUAUACUUUGACACUAAAUAUAAUCAAGAUGAAUCUCAUGUUACUAAACGAAUCAUUCUUUCAACUAUCGCACAAACAUAUGAUCCAUUAGGUUUACUUGCACCAACGGUUAUUACUGCUAAAAUCAUACUACAAAAACUGUGGUUAGCUAAAUUAGACUGGGAUGAACCGGUGCCUAAGUCUAUUUUAUCAGAUUGGCAAAACUUCAUUAAUAAAUUUCAUAAUUUACAGUAUAUUCACAUUCCACGUCAUGUAAUAGGACAAAAUACAACUGUAAUAGAAUUACAUGUUUUUUGUGAUGCUUCACAGUGUGCGUACGGAGCUUGUGCAUAUAUACGCAGUGUUACAGAUAAUAAUAUAAUAACAGUACAUUUGUUAUGCGCGAAGAGUCGAGUCGCCCCGGUGAAACCGGUUAGCAUACCGCGCUUAGAAUUAUGUGGUGCAUUAAUCCGACAGAUUUGCUCCCGUUAAGUCCAGCUCAUUUUUUGAUUGGCCGGCCACUUACUGCGCCUGCUGACAAGAAAGACCUGACGAUGACAGCCACACAUCGCCUUCCACGAUAUGAUCGCAUAGAACAGAUGCGACAAAACUUCUGGCGUCGGUGGGCUACGGAAUAUAUUUCUGAGCUUCAGAAGAGGACCAAGUGGCAAUCUAACCAAGACACAUUACUUCCGAACACACUGGUCCUAAUAAAAGAAGAUCACCUUCCACCCCUGAAAUGGCAACUUGGACGAGUGCAAGAGACGUUCCCAGGUCGAGAUGGCCUCUCUCGUGUAGCAGUCAUCAAGACGGCGACCGGAAUUAUCAAGAGGACGUACCCAAAACUCUGUCCACUACUACAACCACAGUAACUUCGUUGGAAGCUGGUGCUUCCAAGGCCGGGAGUAUGUCUACAAUCAGCGCCAUCUAGUGCAGCGGCGAUAGCACGCACGAUGUUUUCGACCGUGGCUGGCGCCGCUCUGUUUUAUCGAGCGGUGUCGCCAAUCAGAAAGCCUGCAUUUACCGACUUUUGACAGUGACGUCUUAAAUGUCACUCACAUUUUUUCUUCCCUACAAUUUUUGUAAAACCUGUACCUACAUGUAUAAAAAAUAAACGCACUAGUUACUGGAAAAAUAAUAAAGCAAA